rnacentral:lncRNA from 1 species
CCCGAUAGUCAUAACUAAUCAUCAGAACAUCCAUCCUGACGAUGGUUAACUAUAACGUAUGUAACUACGUAGUACGUAUUACUUCACAGUCUGAUCGCCGACGGUCAAGCUGAUCGGCAAGGAAAUUUUCCAUGACAUGGUUCUAGCCUUUUCAACAUCAAGAAAGAAAAUUUUUUUCUUUCUUGCUCUGCUCCAUACGCCGUACGGAUACCCGCGGCCCAGGACGUGGCCACGCACAUAGACGGAUAGACGGGACAUGAAUCUAUACGGAACAUUCCAUUCCACCCAAGACCAUUUAAUGGUGUUUACCGGGUUUGCCCCACCGUGUGUGUGUGUGUGUGUGUGUGUGGUUACCCUUCAAACUUUUGAGGGAAAAAAAUAAUAUUGACGGGAAUUUUCAAUUUUUAGAUGUUUUUUUUUUCCUUUCCAUGGAUAUUUCGGAAAUCGAUAGUGGAGCGCUUUGGGCUUCUGGAACAACCUCCCCAAGAGCCAAGAUAACAGACAAUGACUUCUUUGUUGUUUUGCCGAUCUACCACACAGCUAAGACCGUUAAGCUGUACGUGUACUACAGUAUGGUUUCGGUAGAGGGAAGCGGGGAUAAUUAUCGAAGUAUAAUAAUGAACGGUAUGACGAACGGGAUCGGACGGUGGAAAUUAUAGUUAGUAUACUACGCACAAACAAGGUCUUUCUUUGAUCUACUGACUGGCUUGAAAGCUGAUGAUGAUGGCCAUCCUUUCAGAAUAAUAUUAAUACAUACAUACAUACAUACAUACAUACUACAUAGCGAUGAAUGCGUUACUGCAUGCAGUAGCUACAACCUCAGUUGGAUAUCGGCGUAUUUCAUAUUGAUUAAGUAAUUGCUUUUUCGCCUGUGUCUGAUCGGUCCCUUGAAUAGUUAGUUACCUACACAGUAACCAUGGUAAUAUGUAUCGUGGUAUAAAUCUGACGGGUGCAUGUAUUGAUAUCAGCUGAGUGGGUUUUCGUCAACUGCAAGGUCGACCCAAACCGGGAAUGGGCAUAGCACGCACGCACACACACAGUCUCUCUCUGGAUUACUACGAGUAAUAUGUGGCUUGCCUGGGAAGUCUGGUGGUGGCACACCUCGGAAGUAAAGAGCGGUUGGUGACUUGGUGUCAGACUGUCAGGAUGAGCGCAACUGCCAGCAAUUAGGGUUUCCGCUAGAUCCGUGCCGCACUAGGCAAAAAUCGUCUGUUAAGUAUUAACUAAACCGCGUGUUAAACAGGUUAAACGGCAAGAAACGAAAAAAGAAAAGAGCGCAAAAAGGGCACAAAGUAACGAGGCUGGUUGGCAGGUUGGGACUAGUUUAAGGAGGAGUUAGUGGGCCGAGUGCUAAAUAUCCGGGCCUACUCCUACAACUCUGUAAUUGUAUCAGUGAGUAGUGUGUAUGUAUGUCUAGAAGAGAUCUGCCCACGGUGACACUGCACUGGCCAGUCAUGUACAUUGAGUCGCCCCGUCUAGCGAGCAUUUCAUUGGCCAUCUGACUCGGCCGAUCAUUCAACGACCAGAAGAGACUCAAGAGCCUAAAGAAGAGGAAGUGAAUUUUCGUAUUCGGUGGUUCCGCUCCACCAGACCAGACCAAACCGUCUCCGUCCGCCACGCUCUCUUCAACCAAGCGACGAGCAAAGUCAUGAUUCAAUAUGCAAGCUGUCUGAUUAGUCACUGCAACCUUGGUUUAACUAAACUAGUUAACUAGUUAGUUAACUGUUCUACAGACUAGUUGGUUGAACCUGGUUACCAUUUCAUUUUCCAGAUCAAAAUGAGAACCAUCACAAUGCCGAUUCCUUCCGUGUAACACCACUCCGGAUGUACGAUGUCGAGCCUGGUCAAAGGAAUGUGACACGCAGCACAUUGAUCAGAUAUGUAGUAUCAUCGAGUAGUAGUUACUAACAAACCUCACAAAAAGAAAAAUAAUACGGAGGGUCCGACGACUAGCAGAGAUCGUUGGAUCGCGUCUUACCGCCGAAGUUUCUGAAAAGUGUAAAGGUGAAACUCGUUCCCUGGCUCAGUCAGCAGGAUAUCCGUAUAGCCGACUAGAGUCCAUGGUCUCCAUAUACUAGUAUAUACUACAGAGUAGUAUGAGUACGAGUUCACUAAGGUCUCCUUUUGGCAGGGCCGGAUGAGGAAGGCUAACCCGCCCUGCCAAGUGUAGCACAUACUACUACAUAGCUACGCACUACACUACGUAGGAUAGUGUCUGUCCUA